CACAAGGAGAAACAGAGGAAACCUGUACUUACAGUACGCUGUGUCCAGCCCAGAGGUGAGAGCCAUUCAAAGCAAACUAACUGUGCUAUUGUGCCCAAGUUGAUACCUGUGGAGAGAAAAGGAGAGAGAGUGGGUAACACGAGGAGAGAUCGAGGAAACCUGUACUUACGCCGCUGCCUGUGGAGAAAGAGAAAGCGACCGUUGCCUGUGGAGGAAGAGAAAGAGAGUGAGCACCCCGAGAACGAACUGUGUGAACCAGUACUUACCGUGAGCUGUAUUCAGCGAAGAGGAGGAAGAAGGAGGGCGCUACGGAUACCUAAGACUCAGGCCGGGGCCCGAGUCCCACGCCCCGGAUCCCCGUGGCCCCCUUGCUCCCUGACCUCUUCCCGGCCAUAGCCCAUCUGGAGGGCCGAGUCAGAGUUUAGUUUUAAUUGCCCUUUCCCUAUUCCCCAAGCUAUUUUUAAAUAUUUAAAUAAAGAUUGUUUUAUCACUUACUUGUUCUCGUGUUGUUUGGCCAUUGGGUUGGCUUUGGGGACCUCCUCGAGGUGGAAGUUGAGAAGGGGUGUGGCUUAGUCAAAGCAUAGCCAGCCCCUGGGUGUGACAUAUAUAUAUAUAUAUAUAAUUUAUUUUUGGCAUAUUGUUUGGCCAAUGCAGUUGAUGCACAGUUCAAUUUUAAGGUAAUUUUUUUCACUGUGUUGCUCAAUGUAAAAUCUGGGACCUGCAUCAAAUCAGUUGAGAAGUACUGAUGCAAAAUAUUCCCGGAUAUGACUCGGAAAUGCAUCCGAGAGUUUUUGACAGCGAGGAAAACAUGCCGUAACCUUAGAAAAGAGCCUCAGAGAUGGUGCUGCAUUUGGACGUGAGCACUCAGUAAAGCCGAGUUAGUUAAACUCAAGCGGAGAGGCUGUCUCUUCUCUAGCAGCAGAGUCAGGAGCACAUUACAGUCGUCCCUAAGAGCAAUAAGACAAAAACUACCGCUGCUGGAGAGCUCAUUAAAAUUCUAUGAGAGAGAUGCCAUAAUGGGCCAAGAGACCUCACUAUCAGGAAGUUCUUUUUCAUGUUCCCACACAAAACACAAGUCCCUCAGCACGUUUUGAUGUUCAUCUACAUCACUUUAAUCCUGCCUCCUCUGAAGAUGUGUUCUGCCCGCCCACCCCUGUAUAUUGUCUUUCUGUUACUCAUCCUGUCCCAUGGAAAUUAGUAGCAGUCAUAAUAUCUAACAUUUCCCUGUUAACAUGUUCUCUUUGAUAUCUUUUACACCGAUGCAUGUAACUGCACACAUUCAAGCAGAUAUUCUUGAUAUGCGUGUGCAUCUUCAACAGAUUUUUGCUGUUUAUGAGCAUUUAGAAGUAAACAUGAGUUGAAUAAGUAUGGGAGCACUCCAAGACUUCAAAGUAGUCAAUUUAAUCUCCCGAGCCUCAAUUCUUUCGAUGAAUAAAUAAUUCCAGUAAACACAAAUUACUAUAUGUCAUUUACUCAUGUUAAAUAACUAAUUUAAUCUAAAAAAAAAUAAAAAAAAUAAUGUAUUUAAACACAUUAUGAUGGUCAUGAUUCGGUCACUUCACAUCCGUUUAUUCACCACACAGACUUUCACACGACACAGUACACCCUGGACUUCAUUUCCCAUAAACCCCUGCCUAGGAACUCAUUAUUGAACCACAUCUGUUUCCUAUCAGUGACAAUAUAAAGGUUGCACUCAUCCACACUCACAUUGCGAAGUCUUGUUUAGUUCUGUCUGCCAUUUCCGAGCAGUUUCCCUGUGUUUGUUCCUUCUGUGUUUUAUCUUGGAUUGUUUAUACCGACUGUGAUUCUCUGCUGCCUGCCCCGACCUCUGCUUGUUUCUGUUCUGAUUUUGGAUGUCCCCUGCAAACCUGACGUUGUUAUCUGAUCAUUGCCUGUUUGACUACUCUGUAAAUAAAGUCUCUGACUCUCCGUUACAAUGAUGGCAUUAUCAUUCUUUCAGGAAUG
ensembl:lncRNA